AUUUCUAAAAGGAUCAUGCCUCGUUCGGAAGGUUUUUGUGUGUGUGAAGCCAAUGGACUUUCUUAAAGUUUUUUAAAAAUGGAUAAAAUAAAUAGGAUUCCAAAGGAAAUCCAUUAUGUUGAAAUAGUUAUCUAUGAGUAUAAACUCCAAAGACAUAAUAUAGUAGUAUAUAUACUUGCUUUAAAAUUAACCUUCGUAAACAAGAUCUAUUGGCGAGACUAGUAGUAACUCCUGGGAUUUCAAAGUAACAGUGAGCCUGACCAUACCUUACACAGCUAAAGGGUACAGACGAAAACAUCUGUGGUCUCCGUGGUUGUUAAAGUUGCAGAACCGUGGAACCUCUGGAGUAUUACAGGAGAUUUCUGAAAGAGAACUGCCGUCCUGAUGGAAGAGAACUUGGUGAAUUCAGAACCACAACUGUCAACGUAGGUUCAAUUAGUACCGCAGAUGGUUCUGCUUUAGUGAAGUUGGGAAAUACUACAGUAAUCUGUGGAGUU
rnacentral:sRNA from 1 species